rnacentral:rRNA from 1 species
CAGAGAAGGGAUCAUUACU